rnacentral:rRNA from 1 species
GAUGAUGAGGAGAGAAUCCUAAGGCCGGCGGAAGAAUUGCAGUUAAGGAACUAGGCAAAUUGACCCCGUAAGUUAGCGAGAAGGGGUGCCUGCGAGAGCAGGCCGCAGAGAAUAGGCCCAAGCAACUGUUUAGCAAAAACACAGGUCUCUGCUAAAGCGCAAGCUGAUGCAUAGGGGCUGACGCCUGCCCGGUGCUGGAAGGUUAAGGGGAACACUUAGCGCAAGCGAAGGUGUGAACUUAAGCCCCAGUAAACGGCGGCCGUAACUAUAACGGUCCUAAGGUAGCGAAAUUCCUUGUCAGGUAAGUUCUGACCCGCACGAAUGGCGUAAUGACUUGGGCACUGUCUCAACUGCAAAUCCGGCGAAGUUGUAGUGCGAGUGAAGAUGCUCGCUACCCGCGAUUGGACGGAAAGACCCCGUAGAGCUUUACUGUAGCUUAGCAUUGAAUUCCGGUAUUGUCUGUACAGGAUAGGUGGGAGACUGGGAAACUAGGGCGUCAGCCUUAGUGGAGUCGUCCUUGGGAUACCACCCUGACAGUACUGGGGUUCUAACAGGACGCCAUGAAUCUGGUGACUGGACAUUGUUAGGUGGGCAGUUUGACUGGGGCGGUCGCCUCCUAAAAAGUAACGGAGGCGCCCAAAGGUUCCCUCAGAACGGUCGGAAAUCGUUCGUAGAGUGCAAAGGCAGAAGGGAGCCUGACUGCGAGACCUACAAGUCGAGCAGGGACGAAAGUCGGGCUUAGUGAUCCGGUGGUACCUCGUGGGAGGGCCAUCGCUCAACGGAUAAAAGCUACCUCGGGGAUAACAGGCUGAUCUCCCCCAAGAGUCCACAUCGACGGGGAGGUUUGGCACCUCGAUGUCGGCUCGUCGCAUCCUGGGGCUGUAGUAGGUCCCAAGGGUUGGGCUGUUCGCCCAUUAAAGCGGCACGCGAGCUGGGUUCAGAACGUCGUGAGACAGUUCGGUCCCUAUCCGUCGCGGGCGUAGGAAAUUUGAGAGGAGCUGUCCUUAGUACGAGAGGACCGGGAUGGACUGACCUCUGGUGCACCAGUUGUUCUGCCAAGAGCAUGGCUGGGUAGCUAAGUCGGGAAGGGAUAAACGCUGAAAGCAUCUAAGCGUGAAGCCUCCCUCAAGAUGAGAUUUCCCAUAGCAUAAGCUAGUAAGACCCCUUGAAGAACACGAGGUUGAUAGGUCAGAGGUGUAAGUGUGGUAACAUAUUUAGCUGACUGAUACUAAUAGGUCGAGGGCUUGACC